rnacentral:tRNA from 1 species
AAAGAUUUAGUUAAAUUAAAUAACAUUAGAAUGUCAAACUAAAAUUAUUAAGAAAAAUAAUCUUUA